UUUCCGUAGGUGAACCUGCGGAAGGAUCAUUACCGAGCGAGGGCCCUCUGGGUCCAACCUCCCACCCGUGUCUCUUGUACCUCGCUGCUUCGGCGGGCCCGCCUCACGGCCGCCGGGGGGCAUCUCGCCCCCGGGCCCGCGCCCGCCGAAGACACCCACGAACUCUGUCUGAAGAAUGCAGUCUGAGUGAAAUGAUAAAUUAUUUAAAACUUUCAACAACGGAUCUCUUGGUUCCG
rnacentral:misc_RNA from 1 species